rnacentral:piRNA from 1 species
UUUGAUACAAUGCAUCUGAGGCUG